CCCGUACUGCGAGGGGAGGCGGAGAGAUGGGGCAAUUGACUAUUGCUAACAAGUUAGCCUUGAUUCAGGAGUAAUCAAUUAUAUGCAGAGACACUACUCUCUCUCUCUUUCUCCUUUCCCCCUGUCUUUCUCCUCCCUUCUUUCUCUCUGUCCUCUUUCCUCCUGUUCUCUUCCUCCCUCCCUCCCUCUCUCUUCUCCGCUCCCCCCGUCUCUCUCCUUCUCUCCCUCGCCCUCGCCCUCUCUUUCACUCUCUGUCUGUCCAAUGCAGGCAGCUCUAAGUUGGGAAGCUCAUUAAUUAGCGGGCCGGGGGUAGGAGGAGCCGGCUGGAAUUAGCCUGCCUAAUGCGCCUGUCAGUCCGGCGCCGCGCCGCGCUCGGCCCGAGCUGUUUGUAAAUUACAUUAGCGGCGCCUUUAUUGCGCCCGCACCGCCGACGACUGAAAAGCCGCCGCCCCCACCCCAAACUGCGAGCUGCGCGCCCGGCGCACCCUUCGCCCGCCGGCCUCGCCGCAAUUGCAGCGCUAGCCCGGAGUUCUCAGGCUCUCCAAUCCGGGAUUCGACGCCUGAGAAGGGCGGCGAGAGCCCAGUCCGGGAGGUGCACGGCCGCCAAGCGGUCAAGGACUGAGCCCCUAUCAUGUUUUGGGUGCAGAAGCAGAGAGGAAGAACAGACAGAAGAUGGAGGGCGAUGGGCAGGCAGGGGUGAAAGGAAACAGACACUCCCUCCCACAGUAGCGCAGAGGACCAUGAUGAGGGUGCAGAAGUGGGGACCACUCUCCUGGCAAAGAAGACAGACAAGCAGGAGGCCAGAAGUGCCAGCCCGGAGGAGAGCCAGAACACCCCCACAUUUCCUCCCUCUGCCGCCUGAGCAGCAAGCUGCUAGAGUCGCGAUGAAAUCUUUGGUCCUUCCUGCACUUGCAUCAGGUCUGCAGCCUGCAGAAGGCGCUGGUCGACCCAGCUCUUUCCUGAGCCGCCUGCCCUUCGCCCCGACCCGGUGAACCUCAGCGUGGGCCCUCGCAGCGGCCCCGCGGGUCUUCCCGGGGCAGCGCGGACAGGGGCCCGGCCUGAUUUCCAGCAGAGUCCCAGGCGCCCCACCGAAGGCUGCUCCCUGGCCCAUCCUCCAGGCCGCCUCCCCCUACCCCCAAGAAUCCAUCUCUCCUGCUGCACCUUCCUCCUCCUCCUCCUCUUCCUCUUCCCUCCGCCUCUAUGCUUUCCUUCUCGUUCGUUUGUUUGGUUAGUGCCACAGCCCGGACCCCUGGGGAGGCCUGGGCUAACUCGGCCCCUCCCGAGGGCUCAGGCGGAGCUCUGAGCCCUCGGCCUGGCCUGGAACGACGUCCACACCUGGGCGGCCCGGGCGUCUCGGCAGAGGCAGCCGGCGAGAGGGGCUGUGACCGCACCUCGGCCUCAGCGGGCCCCGCCGCCUGUGGGCUGUGUGGUCUCGGCUGACGGGGUACUAGGCGUUAGAAACCUUCUCUCCAAUUCUGACAACGUCUCCGUUUCACCAAAGAGGAAACUGAGGUUGAGACAGUGUCGCCAGAGGUGGGGCUCGAACCCAGAUCGCGCUGGGAAGCGCUGCUGAGUUUAAGUCCAGCAGCUCCACCGGCGGUGGCGACCUGAGCAGGCACAAGGUGGGGCUGAACCUUCUAGAGUCCCUACUGCCAUCCGCUGCCCCCGGUGCUGGGGAAACUUUGAAAUCCUUAUUUGCAGGUAAACGAUUUUGGCGGCCCCUAGAGAAGGCUGGAAGUAAGACCCAAACGAGGGACUUCCGGCUUGUUCCGGGAGAGCCCGGGGAGGCCAACUCUUCCCAACGCAGAGCCCGUUGCUCCCGGAGUUUUCCUCCUUAGAGCCUGUCCAUCAGCUCUGGCGUCUGUCCCUCCGGUGGGGCCCACGUCCCCGGCACCGCGGGGGACGGUGCGCAGGGCCCUCCCGCACAGGGCGGGGGGCUGGCCAGACGCCGCUCCGUCCCAGUCUUGUCCCCUCUCCUGCGUGCCUCUCAGGUAGGAGUCCUCCUGGCUGCGAAGCUGGGACUGGCCAUGCCGGCUCGGGGCUGGGCAGGCUGGAAACCGGGGCCUGGGAACCCCCGGCCGGGCUGGGAAGGGUUGGAGUCCGCCUCCCCGGCGACACCGUCCGGAGCUCCCGCCGCAGAGUCACCCCGUGGCAGCCCCGACAGGCCACGCGUCCCUCGACACAAGUCCCAUUACAUUGUAUUUAUGCUUCACUUUAUUGGUUUUUUUUCCUCUCUUAUUAUUGUCUCACUCUGGGGGAGGUAAAGGAUAUAAUAUAUUCAUCUUUAUUAUACCAAAUCUGUGUGAAGCAUUUAAUAAAACGCUG